GCCAUUCGGUGACCUAGUUGACAUGGUUUGGGUUGUCUUGAUUAUGACAAGUUGACAUUAAUCAAAGUGACAUUACCAGAAGUUGUGUUGGUCAUGACAUUGACAUU